rnacentral:lncRNA from 10 species
UUCGAAAGAGAGGCAAUCUAGAAAUAAUUGAGACAAGGGCAGAAGCCAAAGGACAAUGAAAAAAUUUCAGAAACAGGGUUGUUUGAAACUGAAGAUGCUAUACUUGAGGCUUUUUGUGGCAUCGGCUUCUGAAUUCAACUCUGAAGUGAAUGUGUUGCAUUGCUUUCAAGUGUGGUGGUGAUGAAUUACUGAAGAAAUUUCAAUCAGAG